GGGGAGAGGUAGCGCUAUGCUAGGAAUAGAAAGCUUUGACUGGGCAGGCCUUGCCCUCUUGGAUGAGAACCCCCUACUUAAGGAGCCCAUCUUUCUCUCGACUGCCAGCUUGAUGAUGGAUGGGGAUAGCUCAUAGCUACUAGGCAAAGAAGAGGAAAUAUUUUUCUGACAACUAUAAUAACGAAAGAGCGAUUGAUAGUCAGAUAG
rnacentral:lncRNA from 1 species